rnacentral:rRNA from 1 species
UACGAAGGGUGCAAGCGUUACUCGGAAUUACUGGGCGUAAAGCGUGCGUAGGCGGUCUGUUAAGUCUGAUGUGAAAUCCCCGGGCUCAACCUGGGACCUGCAUUGGAUACUGGCGGGCUAGAGUACGGUAGAGGGUGGUGGAAUUCCCGGUGUAGCAGUGAAAUGCGUAGAGAUCGGGAGGAACACUCGUGGCGAAGGCGGCCACCUGGACCAGUACUGACGCUGAGGCACGAAAGCGUGGGGAGCAAACAGGAUUAGAUACCCUGGUAGUCCACGCCCUAAACGAUGCGAACUGGAUGUUGGGCUCACUUCGGAGCUCAGUAUCGAAGCUAACGCGUUAAGUUCGCCGCCUGGGGAGUACGGUCGCAAGACUGAA